rnacentral:rRNA from 1 species
CAAGUCGAGCGGGAACGGUUCCUUCGGGAACUUAGUAUAGCGGCGGACGGGUGAGUAACGCGUGAUUAAUCUGCCCUCAGGACCGGGAUAGCCAUUCGAAAGGAUGGGUAAUACCGGAUAAGCCCACAGCUUCGCAUGAAGUAGUGGGAAAAAGGUUGGGCUCUUCGGACCUUCCGCCUGUGGAUGAAAUCGCGUCCUAUUAGCUUGUUGGUGGGGUAACGGCCUACCAAGGCAACGAUGGGUAGCGGGCCUGAGAGGGCGACCCGCCACACUGGAACUGAGACACGGUCCAGACUCCUACGGGAGGCAGCAGUGCUGAAUCAUUCGCCAAUGCGCGAAAGCGUGACGGUGCGACGCCGCGUGCGGGAUGAAGGCCUUCGGGUUGUAAACCGCUGUCAGGUCCUAGGAAACCAUAGGGGUGAAUAGUCUCUAUGCUGACCAGGUCCAGAGGAAGCACAGGCUUACUUCGUGCCAGCAGCCGCGGUAAGACGAAGUGUGCGAGCGUUGUUCGGAAUCACUGGGCGUAAAGGGUGCGUAGGCGGCAUGGUAAGUCAGGUGUGAAAUCCCCCGGCUCAACCGGGGAAUUGCUUUUGAUACUGCCAUGCUUGAGAGCGAAAGGGGCAAGCGGAAUUCCAGGUGUAGCGGUGGAAUGCGUAGAUAUCUGGGAGAACGCCGAUGGCGAAGGCAGCUUGCUGGGUCGCGUCUGACGCUGAGGCACGAAAGCUAGGGGAGCGAACAGGAUUAGAUACCUGGUAGUCCUAGCCGUAAACGAUGGGCACUACGUUCCGGAGGGCCUGAUCCCUUCGAAGCGUGAGUUAACGCAUUAAGUGCCCCGCCUGGGGAGUAUGGUCGCAAGGCUAAAACUCAAAGGAAUUGACGGGGGCUCACACAAGCGGUGGAGCAUGUUGUUCAAUUCGAAGCAACGCGAAGAACCUUACCUGGGCUUGACAUGCUAGUAGUACGAACCCGAAAGGGGGAGGACUCUUAACCGAGAGCUAGCACAGGUGCUGCAUGGCUGUCGUCAGCUCGUGUCGUGAGACGUUGGGUUAAGUCCCGUAACGAGCGAAACCCUUGUUGUCUGUUGCCAUCGGGUCAUGCCGGGCACUCUGGCAAGACUGCCGGUGUUAAACCGGAGGAAGGCGGGGACGACGUCAAGUCAUCAUGGUCCUUACGUCCAGGGCUACAAACGUGCUACAAUGGCCAGUACAGAGAGAAGCAAGACCGCGAGGUGGAGCAAAUCUUCAAAGCUGGCCCCAGUUCGGAUUGGAGGCUGCAAUUCGCCUCCAUGAAGUUGGAAUCGCUAGUAAUCGCGGAUCAGCAACGCCGCGGUGAAUAUGUUCCUGAGCCUUGUACACACCGCCCGUCAAGCCACCCAAGCUGGAAGCACCCGAAGUCAG